ACAUCCUAUCGGAGAGGGGGGGGGGGUGUCCUCCUCUACUUACAACAUUAAUUUUCUAUUAUUUUUACAGGCAAAGUUGGUUAUUUUCACGUGUAUGAAGUAAACCUAUGCAUUGAGAUCUUUUAUUAACGUUAACAUAUUUGUUGGCGUGAUUGCUGUAAAAUUAUACAGCAAUAUAUAUGCGGCCUUCUGCACUGUUGAUAAUGACGCUUCUCGAAUAUACUACCCGGAAGUCUUAACCUACUGUUACGCAAGCGUACUACGUUCCGGAUCAAGGAAAGAUAACUCAUGUUUUCGGAUUGGCCUAUAAAAAGCUAGCAUCACACCAGACUAAGUUCAAUAAAGGUUUUAACCCUGAUACAGACACAACAAAGUGUAUUCCCUAUUGAGGAAGCACUGCAUUUCUCUUUUUAUUCAUUGAUAAGAUUAUUGAGGAAGCACUGCAUUUCUCUUUUUAUUCAUUGAUAAGAUGAAUGAAAAAAUGUGCAGCAACUUUCUCUCUCCAUUGAAAAUCUAUAAAGUUUUUUACAUGAAGGAGAUGAUUUCCCCUCAUUUGCCCCUAUGGUCAUCCUAGUACUGCAUAAUUUUCUACAAAAAUAAAAAAAAAGUUCAUAUUUUAAUUUUUUUCCCCAAAAUGGAAAAAUGCAACCUUUUUUUCAUUGUGAAUAGGGCAGAAUAUUGGGCCAUGAGAAAGUACUGAUAAAUCUCUGGGUUUUUUUGUUUUUAUAUUGAAUUACAAACGUCACAUUGGGCACAGAUGGACAUAUUUCUAGUUUAAAGAUUGUAUCCUUGUGUUUAAUCCUAUUCACUUUCUAUAUCACAAAAAAAUAUUGUUACUCAUUUCCUGAAGUAAACUACCAAUGGUUCACAAAAAAACAAUAUAAGGCACCACUGGUUUUAUAAGCUACUAAUGUUUAGGAUUAUGGUUUAACCACUAUGCCGCACUCAAUAGGAUGAACAUGUACUAUGAGUUUAUUUUGUAUUUAGUGUAUAUAUAUAUAUAUAUAUAUAUAUAAUGGGUAUUUUCUGCUGUUGUUCAUUUUUUGCAGAUAGGAAAAAUCCGCAAAAAUUACAAUAACAAACAAAUAUAUCCACAUGCUCAUAGGUACAUAUAGGUAUAAUGCAACUGCAGAUAUUGGAAAUGCCGAAUUUACGGAUCAAAGCACAAAAAUUUCCAACCGCAGAAAUACCAGUUUUACUGUGUGUGUGUGUCUCUCUCUAUAUAUAUAAUAUAAAGACAAUAUAUAUAAUAUAAAGACUUUUUAUUUCAAUAUGUUGUACAUCUGUAUUUAUGGAUAAUUUGUAUAUAUACCUUGUAUUUACAGAUAGGAUUGUACUUAGUAUGCAUUAUCAUGUAUUAUAAAUAUAUGCUAUAUACAUAUUCUCAGGUCAUAAGGUUGUUUUCUAUCAUUACAGUACAUAAUUUAUACAGAAAUAGACCAGACAGAAGGGGGGGGGUGUCUUGGUCUUCUAUUUGUGUUACAUGUACACCUGUAAGUUCCGUCAUACUGGAUGAGAAAUCCGUGUCCUUAAUUACAAUUCAUGGGUUAUAAAGUUUGUUUAAACCAAAAGGUCAUUCUGACCAUGGUCAUUGCAAACAAGUCUAACUGCAUCCAAAUUUUGACAUGCUUUCUUCACUGUUUUCUUUUUACAUUAUUCUUUGUUUUUCUGUCAUUCAUGGGUUUGUAUAUGGAUUUUAUAAUGUUAAAAUAAUUGUUUGGGUUAUCAAGAAAUAUAUAUUUUUUAAUGUUCCUGAUACAUUGAGAAUUUAUGUGUAUGUAUCUUAUCAGUAAAUGUUGGUGGAAACUGUAAGAGGUGAUCCAUUCUGAAAAAAGGACUCGAUUUUAAAUCUUAAUCACAACUUGUUUUGUUUGUUUUCAUUGCAUUCCAAGGCCAAUUCAUGGUGCAGGUCUGUUUUUGUGUUCAUUUUUAAUUGAAUUUUGUUGUUACAGAAUAUUUUUUGUUACCCGAUAGCUGACUGAGCUAAAGUCUCAAGUGAGCAUUUUCUGAUUAAACUUUGUCUCACAUCUGUCUGUCCUGUAAACGGUCCUGUCAUGUAUGUAACAAACUUAGUCUCACAUCUGUCUGUCCUGUAAACAGUCCUGUCAUGUAUGUAACAACCUUAGUCUCACAUCUGUCUGUCCUGUAAACAGUCCUGUCAUGUAUGUAACAACCUUAGUCUCACAUCUGUCUGUCCUGUAAACGGUCCUGUCAUGUAUGUAACAACCUUAGUCUCACAUCUGUCUGUCCUGUAAACGGUCCUGUCAUGUAUGUAACAACCUUAGUCUCACAUCUGUCUGUCCUGUAAACAGUCCUGUCAUGUAUGUAACAACCUUAGUCUCACAUCUGUCUGUCCUGUAAACAGUCCUGUCAUGUAUGUAACAACCUUAGUCUCACAUCUGUCUGUCCUGUAAACGGUCCUGUCAUGUAUGUAGCAACCUUUCACAUUUUGACUCCCAAUCUUAUCACAAAACCUUUCCUUGCAUGGGAAAUUGGGAUUUGAUUUUCAUCAAAUGAAGGUUGAACAUCUUAAUCCAUGUUCUAAUGGGCAAGCAUGGGACCUUUAAAGGGGUUUAAAAUGACCAAAGAAUAGGAAUGAUAAUAUGGUUAUUUCAGGGCACCCAAUGCAAUCAACAUCAGUUGACAUUUGAACACUAUUUGACACCCUGACUUUUCUGUUUGUUAGGUAAGACACUUGUAUAUGACAUAGUAACUUUUCUGUUUGUAAGGUAAGACUUGUAUAUGACAUACUUUUCUGUUUGUAAGGUAAGACACUUGUAUAUGACAUACUUUUCUGUUUGUAAGGUAAGACACUUGUAUAUGACAUAUUUUCUGUUAGUAAGUUAAGACUUAUAUAUGACAUACUAUUCUGUUAGUAAGGUAAGACACUUGUAUAUGACAUACUUUUCUGUUAGUAAGGUAAGACACUUGUAUAUGACAUACUUUUCUGUUAGUAAGGUAAGACACUUGUAUAUGACAUACUUUUCUGUUAGUAAGGUAAGACACUUGUAUAUGACAUACUUUUCUGUUAGUAAGGUAAGACACUUGUAUAUGACAUACUUUUCUGUUAGUAAGGUAAGACACUUGUAUAUGACAUACUUUUCUGUUAGUAAGGUAAGACACUUGUAUAUGACAUAUUGACUUUUCUGUUUGUGAAGUAAGAUGCUUUUACAUGACUCCUUGACUGAUCUGUAAAAUUCUUGUUUAUAUCUUUUAAGAGCAACAAGGCAAUCAUUUAUUAAAAUGAUCGAUGUUCAGAUAUCUAGAUGUAGCAUAUAUGAUAUGCUUAAAUCAGAAAUCUAGAUGUAGCGUAUAUGAUAUAUUUAAAUCAGAAAUCUAGAUGUAGUGUAUAUGAUAUAUUUAAAUCAGAAAUCUAGAUGUAGCGUAUGAUAUAUUUAAAUCAGAAAUCUAGAUGUAGCAUAUGUAAUAUGUUUAGAUCAGAAACCCCAGAGAUAUCUAACUGUAAUAGCAUUUACAGUUUGCAAGAACAACAAUUAUUUACAAUUUAGCAGCAUCAUACAGAGGAAUAGAUUUGAAUCAUGGGCUGUUGAGAUUCAUUCUGUUAUUGGAAGUGUUUAGUGACCUAGGUGAGCAUUGUGGCCCGCCUCUUUUUGUACUGUCUCUAUGACAUUUAUCUGGCAAUCCGACAAAGAAAGAGGUUCAUUUUUAUACAACAUUUUUUUGGAAUGUGGCUGUGUCAUGUGAUAUAUUUACAGUAAUAUUUUAUGAGUUAGAUUGUUUUUGAUGUAGUUACAUGUAUUAAUUGAAGUAAUGUUUGACAAUGGUCAUUUUUCUACUGAGUGCUGUCAACUGAAUGCUGUUAAUAUUUAUUUAUAUCCAGGUUUAGAGGUAUACUAUUUUCAUCACAUGAUUAGUUGAAUAUGGCUGUGAUUUUCUUUGACAUAUCAUUUCUGCAUAUGAAAAAAACAACAACCAAUAAUAAUAAUAAUAAUAAUGUGCGGCAUUUAUAUAACGCAUCAUAUAAUUUGUAAUUACUCUAAGUGCUUUAACAAUGUAAAAUGUAAAACCUGAUAAGAUUAAUCAGAGCAUAAAAUAUAACAUCCAAUAAAAUACAACAAUUUAAACAUUACGAGUUCAUGCGACAAACCAGCCUUUACUUUAAAAAAGAAUAUAUUACAAAAUAUGGUUAUAAGAUUUCAUAAAAAGAUAUGUUUUGAGGUUUGUAUUAAAAGUUUUGAAUGUGCCACACAAAUGGAUGUCUAUCGGUAAACUGUUCCAUAGUGUGGCAGCUGUUACAUCAAACCUUCGAUCUCCAUAGGUCUUUGUACGAACACGGGGUUUUUCUAGCAAUCGUGAAUUGCAGUAUUGCCAAAAAACCAACCAACAACUAGAUUUUAUUUCAUUUGCUCAGUUAUUUAUUUUAUGCAAUCAUCAUAAUGGUUUGUGAUUUUAGUUUUUUAUUUCCCUGAAUUAAAAGAUUGUUAGAUACUAUUGGAGGGGGGUCUUUCUGUUUGCCAUUUUUAUUUGCUUGGCUGUCUGUCUUCAAAAAUACAUCAUCUUUGGUAAAGAAUUUCUGGAUCUUACUCGAUCUGUAUAAGUCCAUCCACACUUUGCAAAAAGUAAAUUGAGUUGUGUCCCUAAGUGGGGUCAACCCAAAGGUUGAAAUAGAAUAAAACAAUAUUUGUCUUUAUGCUACCAAAUGUGUAGGCAUACUGCAAUAAAUUUACAGCUGUUUUAACAAUUUUUCUUUCAAUGUACAUAAGUAGCCCCAUCUUGGGGCAAUCCAAAUAAAAGAUUCAAACAAUUUUUAUGAAAUGACAAAGUUACAAACUUAAAUAAUACAAAGGCCACUGUGAGAGAAUCCUGAGAUGGCAGCCAAGGGACAUACAUGUAACUUUAGCAAAGUGUGGAAGAAGCAUUAGAAUGGUGAUUGUUAACUUAAAUACAAUGAAUGUCAGUAAGGUAUUAGGUAUUGGGUAAAACAUGUGACAUGCACAGAGAAAGUUCUAAUUUUUGUAAGAAUUAUCUCUCUCUGUACUCUAUGUAGAGUUAUUUUCAAUUAUUAUCUAUGGUGAAUUAGACAAGAAUUAUUUAUAUAUGACCUCUUGAGCUAAAAUCAUUCAAAUUGUACUGGAGAAGAUUAUCUAUGUGGCUUAAAUAUUAGUUAUUUGAAUUGUAUUCCCAGAAAUACAUUAUUGUCAUUUAAAAACUAGAUAUGUAUCAGUGUCAUAUAGUGAGCUUUCUCUUUAUUAAAGUGAGCCUUUGGAAGAAUGGCUAUAUAGUGAUUUUUCCACAGAAGAAUGAUUGCAUAGUGACACUUCUCCUAAAAGGAUGGCUAUAUAGUGACAACAGCUAUAUAGUGACCUUUCCACUAGCAGAAUGGCUAUAUAGUGAUUCUUCCACUAGAAGGUUGGCUAUAUAGUGACUCCUCCACUAGAAGAAUGACUAUAUAGUGACUCUUCCACUAGAAGGAUGGCUAUAUAGUGACUCCUCCACUAAAAGGAUGGCUAUAUAGUGUUUCUUCCACUAGAAGGUUGGCUAAAUAGUGGCUCUUCCACUAAAAGGAUGGCUAUAUAUAGUGACUCUUCCACUAGAAGGAUGGCUAUAUAGUGACUCUUCCACUAGAAGAAUGGCUAUAUAGUGGGUCUUCCACUAGAAGGAUGGCUAUAUAUAGUAACUCUUCCACUAGAAGGAUGGCUAAAUAGUGACUCUUCCACUAGAAGAAUGGCAAUAUAGUGACUCUUCCACUAGAAGGAUGGCUAUAUAGUGACUCUUCCACUAGAUGAAUGGCUAUAUAUUGACUUCCUCUGAGAGAAUGGCUAUAUAUAGUGACUCUUCCACUAGAAGGAUGGCUAUAUAGUGACUCUUUCACUAGAAGGAUGGCUAUACAUAGUGACUCGUCCACUAGAAGAAUAGCUAUAUAGUGUGUCUUCCACUAGAAGAAUGGCUAUACAUAGUGACUCUUCCUCUAGAAGAAUGACUAUACAGUGACUCUUCCCCUAAGAUGAAAAAAUAAUUUUUAUUAUGCUCCCCCCCCCCCCUUUGAAAAAGAGGGGCAUAUUGUUAUGCACCCGUCAAUCCAAAAGCCCAAGUCUUGUCUGCUCAAUAUCUUAAGAAUCCUUUGCUUGACAGACAUAAAACUUGGUACAUUAAAGAUUAGAUGACUUGAUUUUGAGAUCACAUGGUCAAAGGUCAAUCCUUUCAGGACAUAGGAAGAUAUUGUCCGCUCAAUAUCUUGAGGACCCUUUCCUUAACAGACAUCAAACAUGGUACAUUGUAUAUUAUUCAUAUGGUCAAAGGUCAAGGGUCAAACUGGACAUAGUAGUAUGUUGUCUCUUCUAUAUUUUGAGAAUCAGAACUUUUUGCUUGACAGACAUCAAACUUUUUAUGCUGGUACAUCUUAGGAGUAGAUGACCCCUAUUGAUUUUGAGGUCACAUGGUCAAAGGUCAAGAGUCAAUCAAUUCUGGACAUAGGAAGAUAUUGUUUGCUCAAUAUCUUGAGGACCCUUUCCUUAACAGACAUCAAACUUGGUACACUCCUGGUACAUUAUAAGGAGUAGAUUAACCCUAUUGUUUAUAAGGAGUAGAUUAACCCUAUUGAUUAUAAGGAGUAGAUUAACCCUAUUGAUUUGGGUUCACAUGGUCAAAGGUCAAAUUAUAUUGUCUCCUCUAUAUUUUGAGAAUCAUUUGCUUGAUUGACACCAAACUUGGUACACUGGUGCAUCCUAAGGAGUAGAUGACCCCUAUUGAUUUUGAAGGCAAUCCACUCUGGACAUUUAAACAAUAAAAUGCUUUCUUUGUUGUUUCAUCGGGUGAUGAAGGAAGCUAGCACUGCAGAAAAAUUCAUAACCCACAUAAGCUCUUGUUGUAAACUGCUUUGCAUUUUACAAAAUAAUCUGCAACAAGUAAUGUUAUAUACAGUAGAUUCCUUAUUUAACACGAGUACUUAAUAUCACGACUUGUAGACAUCAGAUCCGGUGAACGUGAGUGAUCUGUUGAGCAUGAGUUUUUACAUGUAUUUUAGUAAUAUAAAAAUAAAAGUGAAUAAUUUGAUUUUGCAAAUGAUGCUUCUCACAAAAUUAUGUAAUAAUAAAUUUUUAACGUAUGUUUAGGAAUAUACGGAAAUAUAGACAUGCAUGGUUCUAAGUAUAUAUGUAGUGGUUUAUUAGAUGAUAAUCUUGGGUUGUUGGUGGGUUUUUUCCAAAGUCCUUGGGUUUUAAGAGAAAAAAUGCGAAUUUGGUUUUUGUAGAAUAAUGAAAGAAAGUGUUGAAUAAAAUCCAGAAUGAUUGUAUCGUAGGGGAAUCCAAACCUUUCCCUUUCAGUGAGGGAGUCAUUGUAUAGCCAUUCUUUCCCCGGCCCUUUCAGUGAGGGAGUCCUUGUAUAGCCAUUCUUUCCCCGGGCCCUUUAAGAGGAGUCAUUGUAUAGCCAUUCUUUUCCCCGGCCCAUUCAGUGAGGGAGUCCUUGUAUAGCCAUUCUUUCCCCGGCCCUUUCAGUGAGGGAGUCCUUGUAUAGCCAUUCUUUCCCCGGGCCCUGUAAGAUGAGUCAUUGUAUAGCCAUUCUUUCCCCGGGCCCUGUAAGAGGAGUCAUUGUAUAGCCAUUCUUUCCCCGGGCCCUUUAAGAGGAGUCAUUGUAUAGCCAUUCUUUCCCCGGCCCUUUCAGUGAGGGAGUCAUUGUAUAGCCAUUCUUUCCCCGGGUCCUGUAAGAUGAGUCAGUGACUGACUCAGUGUACAGUUGUCUUUAUCAUCCUUCUUCUUUCAACUCCAUUCACUUUACCAACAUUAUAAUGUCAUAUCUGCAAUAUGUGUAUUAUACAUAUGAAGAGAGAUAAUUCAUACAAAUAUAUAAAAUAUUUUUCUCUGAAUUUUAAAUUUCAUAUUUGUUUAGCAACUGGGACAAAUAUUUUCUAAUGACAUGUAAUAGAGAUCAGCAUUUUUUUUUUUAAAUGUAAAGCACAUUAUAUAGACUAAUACACUUAUAAUUAUAACAUUCAGAAUUUAUUGAGAUGUACAUAUACAUGCUGUUUACUUUAUAUUAUUUUUUAAAAACAGUGAAACCUGUCUUAUUUGACAUACUCUACAUUAAUUUUGUGUUGGAUUAGACAGUAUGUCAGAUUCUGCAGUGUAAAGAACACAAGCGGGAGGGGGGAGACAUUGAAAUGAAAAUUAGGAUAAAAAUAUACAGUGAAACAGAUUGCCUUGGUGUUGGUUGGACAGCAAUAAUUGUUAGUGCUAUUGUCUUUAAGUAAUGUAUUAAUUAUGAUACUGUAAUGAAAAAUAUGUUCAUAUUGUAUUUCUAUGAAAAAAUAAAUCUAUCUUUAUAUGGG